AGCACAGGUGCCUUUAAAGGAGCUUAAAGUCUGAGUGUAAGUGAACAGCCCUAUGCAAGAGAAUUUCAGGUUGCCUCUAGGGCUUUAGAUUGAGAUGUUAUCAUGGACUGAACUGUGUCCCUGCAAAAUUCAUACGUUGAAGCCCCAGCUCCCAGUGUGGCUGUAGUUGGAGAUAAGACUUUUUUAAGGAGGUAAUCAAGCUUAAAUGAAGUCAUAAAGGUGGAGCUCUAAUCCAACAGGGUCGAUGCCCUCAUAAGAAGAGGAAGAGACAUCAAGAGUGCACAUGCACAGAGAAAAGGCCAUGUGAAGUCACAAGAAGAUGGCUGUCUGCAGGCAAAGGGGAGAGGCCUCACCAGAGACUAAUCCUGCCAGCACCAUAAUCUUCAACUUCCAGUCUCCAGAACUUUAAGAAAAUAAAUUUAUGUUGUUUGAGCCCAUCAAUCUUGUACUUUGUUGUAGUAGCCUGAGCAGAGGAAUUCAUCUGGAUUGACUUCUUGUUGGUCUGGUGUUUAUUGUAUUCUGCCUGAAAUGGGUUGCAGACUUACCAAAUGUGACAGAUCUUGUACCAUGUACAUGUACACAGCUAAGUGUUCUUGAGAGGGCACUUUCUAAAAGACUUUAUACUCAGCUUAUUAGAGAGGAU
rnacentral:lncRNA from 1 species